UUUAGUGGGUAGCCUAAUCUUCUACCGCUUGCGUUGAAGAACGGAGGAACCAAAGUUCGGGGCGAAUCUCUAUAUAUGAGAAAGAUACCUUCCAAUCUUAGCCCGUCAGCUAACUUCGUAGGCAAUGGAAGGAGUACCU
rnacentral:sRNA from 2 species